GACAAGAAUGCAGCUGUGCAGAGAGAGAGUGUAUUUAUUGAAGUGCAUCUUCCCUCCGCUCACAUUUGUUGACUGCUCUCCAGCUCAUUACUGAGUUAUUAAGGAGUCAUCUGUUACAAAGACCAACGCCGUCUACAGAAAAUGUCCAGCACCUCUCCAGAUGCCCCAGGCGGUGGCCAGAACAUUCCACCAGGCGAUAAGCAGCCUCACAAGGAUGGCCACAAGGGCAAGGGCUCUGGAGGCGAACAUGGCCACGGGCAUGGACCUGGACAUGCACAUGGUCCUCCUGAGCACGCACAUGCUCAUGGUCCUGGGCAAGGAAAAGAAAAAGGGAAAGGAAAAGGACAAGGACAUGGACAUAGUUAAAAAGGUGAAUAGAGGUAGCGGACACACUGACCACCAGACAUUUUGUGAAACCUGUAAUUUUACUCUCCCUCUGAAAGAAACUGCAUUAAAACAUGUAAUACUUUAAAUAAAGCUACUGUUCCGUUAAAUCUGAUUUACUUUUCAAAUAAAAGAGUAAAUGAAGGUAAGGGGUCAUUA